AUUGAACGCUGGCGGCAGGCCUAACACAUGCAAGUCGAACGAGUGGCGGACGGGUGAGUAAUGUCUGGGAAACUGCCUGAUAGAGGGGGAUAACUACUGGAAACGGUAGCUAAUACCGCAUACCAUCAGAUGUGCCCAGAUGGGAUUAGCUUGUUGGUGGGGUAACGGCUCACCAAGGCGACGAGCCCUAGCUGGUCUGAGAGGAUGACCGGCCACACGGGAACUGGGACACGGUCCAGACUCCUACGGGAGGCAGCAGGGGAGAAGAUUGGACGAUGGGCGAAAGGCUGAAGCAGCCAUGCCGCAUGGAUGAAGAAGGCCUGCGGGUUGUAAAGUACUAUCAGCGGGGAGGCGUUACCCGCAGAAGAAGCACCGGCUAACUCCGUGCCAGCAGCCGCGGUAAUAC
rnacentral:rRNA from 1 species